UACGUAGGUGGCAAGCGUUGUCCGGAUUUACUGGGCGUAAAGAGCGCGCAGGCGGUCGUAUAAGUCGAAUGUGAAAGCCCCCCGGCUCAACUGGGGAGGGUCAUUCGAUACUGUUCGACUCGAAGGCAGGAGAGGGAAGUGGAAUUCCGGGUGUAGUGGUGAAAUGCGUAGAUAUCGGGAGGAACACCAGUGGCGAAGGCGACUACCUGGCCUGUUCUUGACGCUGAGGCGCGAAAGCUAGGGGAGCAAACGGGG
rnacentral:rRNA from 1 species